CUUCCACCAUUUGUCAUUCAUUAUCAGUUUGGCGUCCAUUACCAGUGCUAUCGUCCAUCACAACGCCAGCCUGUGUCCCUGCAGGUCUGAGGUGACGCGGGAAUACCUCACCGUCAGGAAUCCAGCAGGGCGUCCAAUAGAGAAAGACCGUCCUUCAACCUAACCCUCGCCGCUAUCAUCUUGCUCGCUUCUAUACGGAUACGGGAAAUAGUGCGUGUGUGCGUGUGUGCGUGCGUGUCAGGGAAUUCGGCAGCUUCCGGCCCCAGAGGACUACAAACGUCGCGACACGGGGCGGAAAAGAGGGUGGUAAAGACAGGGAGACAGGAAGUGUUAAAGGGAGAGACAGAGACAGAGAGGUAGGGCACGUGCGGCAGCUCCCAAAAUAGUGCACCUACUAUAUAGGUGAGCCAGGCCGCCGUGCCAGUCUGCAGUGCCCGCCCGUCCGCCGCGCCACGCCCACACGCCUGCCACCGCCUUACAGGACGUCUUCAUUGAGUGACAAUUGAGCUGUGGUGUUGAUUGGUGAGUGGUGAGGCGGGCUGCUUGACAGUGUGUCAGUGCGGCAGUGUGGUGACCCCGGACUGUGUUCAUUGUACCGCCCCGCCCCGCUUAGCUCCGUCCCGCCCCGCUGGCUGACCGGCCGAACGUCCAGCGUCCUUGUGACCACCAGCAAAGCAAUUCAAGCCGCCCUCAGGACAUGGGCGGCGCUGAAGCUCCUGAUGGGGACGCAGGGGGGGAGGUGGGGGUGUUGGAGGAGCGUCUACGAGGAUUGCUGAGCCACAACCCCGCCUGGCUGGGGCAGGACGGGGCGCCCCCGUGGUGUGCAGACCUCUCCAUGAAUCACGAGGAGCUGCUGGAGCGGACCCGCCAAUGGGCAGCAGCGGGAUGCGGGGCGCAAGGGGCGUCAGGCUCUAUCGCGGCUCCCAUGCGGGUGGCACACAGCGAGGAACUCGGGCGUCACCUGGUGGCGACGCGGGACGUGGCGGCGGGGGAGGUGGUGGUGGUGGAGCCGCCGCUGCUACUGGCGCUGAGGGAGAGGUCGCCGCCUUCCUGCCUCACCUGCUUCCGCCGAGCUACCGUCUACACGUGCCCCGCCUGUGGGUUCUUCCUGUGUGGCCCGGAGUGCGGCGCGGCGGCCCACGCCGAGGAGUGCGGGGUGCUACGCCGCCUGGGGCUGGGCCAGCCGGCGCCACGCCCUGAGGAGGAGGCGCGGCUGGCGGCGCUGCCUGACGAGCAGCGUGCCCAGGCCAGGGAGAUGCUGCAGCAGGCGGCGGCCACCGCGGAGCAGCAGCGGCGCCUGGAAGUGUUGCGGCAGUACCGUCUGGUGGCUGCGGUGAGGACGCUGCUGGUCAUGCACCGCAGCCCCGCCGUGGCCGCAGCGGUGGCAGCGCUGCAGGGCCGCGUGAACCCUUCCUCGACCCGGCACGCCAACCACCAGCGGCGCGUGGUGGAGGUGGCAGUGGGGCAGCUAGGCGUGACCAACGACCCGGCCCUAGCGCACCGCGUGUGUGCCGUGUGGGACACCAAUGGGUUCGAGGUGCCCCUAGCAUGGGGCAACCGCGUGGUAGGCCUCUUCCCCGUCAGCUCGCUGCUCACACACGACUGCCGCGCCAACACCCAGCAGUGGUUCACGGCCGAGGGCGUGGUGGUGGUGCGCGCCGUGACGCGGGUGGCGGCGGGGGACGUGCUCACUACAUGCUACACGGACCCCCAGUGGGCCACACUGCUGCGGCAGGACCACCUGCGCAUCUCCAAGCAGUUCACGUGCACGUGUGCCCGAUGCCGCGACCCCACCGAGCUGGGCACCUUCCUGGGCUCCCCCUGCUGCCCCGCCUGCCGCCUGCCCCUCCUGUCUACCGACCCGCUGGACCCCCAGGCCCCGUGGCGCUGCAGCAACCACACCUGCACCCACACCGCCACCGCCGCCCAGGUGGCGGGGGUGGGGGCCGGGAUCGGGGCCAAGCUGAAGGGCCUCACACCGAAUGACGCCGCUGCCCUGGCCUCCCUCAGCAGACAGCUCGAGGAGAUGCUGCCCUCCACCCACCACGUCCUCAUGCAGCUCCACGUGUCCACCCUCAAGACACUCGUCGCCAGGGACCUGCGGGAGGUGAAUGACGAGGACCUCUCUACCCUCUUGGCCAUCUCGUCUCUCGUCAUGGGUGUCCUCCGCCGUCUGGAGCAGCCCCUCACACGCCUCAGCGGUGAGUGAAAGGCGGCUACGAGGAAGCACAAGGGAAGUUAAAGAAAGGAUGAGGAGUUUCAAGGAGUGAGGAUGGGCCGUGAGGAGAUACGCCUGGCUGUGGAGAGUGAGCGGCGAGGCUUGGUGGCGGGACAGGCGGCGAGGGACAGACUCCAGGAGCUGCGGGGCGUGGCUGAGGAGUGCAAGCUGGUGAUGGGGUGGGACACGAG
rnacentral:misc_RNA from 1 species